UACGGAGGAGGCAAGCGUUAUCCGGAAUUAUUGGGCGUAAAGCGUCCGAAGGUGGUUCACCAAGUCUGCUGUCAAAGGGUGGGGCUUAACCUCAUAAAGGCAGUGGAAACUGGUGAGCUAGAGUGCGGUAGGGGUAAGGGGAAUUCCCAGUGUAGCGGUGAAAUGCGUAGAGAUUGGGAAGAACAUCGGUGGCGAAAGCGCCUUACUGGGACUGCAAUGACACUGAGGGACGAAAGCUAGGGGAGCGAAAGGG
rnacentral:rRNA from 1 species